rnacentral:rRNA from 1 species
GACGAACGCUGGCGGCGUGCUUAACACAUGCAAGUCGAGCGGGAAAGUUCCCUUCGGGGAGCGAGUACAGCGGCGAACGGGUGAGUAACACGUAGGCAACCUACCCCGGAGACCGGGAUAACCUGUCGAAAGGCGGGCUAAUACCGGAUAAGACCACGAGGGCCUCGGCCCUUGAGGUAAAAGGUGGCCUCUGCUUGCAAGCUAUCACUCCAGGAUGGGCCUGCGCGCCAUUAGCUAGUUGGUGAGGUAACGGCUCACCAAGGCGAAGAUGGCUAGCUGGUCUGAGAGGAUGGCCAGCCACACUGGGACUGAGAUACGGCCCAGACUCCUACGGGAGGCAGCAGUGGGAAUCUUGCGCAAUGGGCGAAAGCCUGACGCAGCGACGCCGCGUGGGUGAUGAAGGCC